AGUGAACGGCCACAUUGGGACUGAGACACGGCCCAGACUCCUACGGGAGGCAGCAGUGGGGAAUAUUGCACAAUGGGGGAAACCCUGAUGCAGCGACGCCGCGUGGAGGAAGAAGGUCUUCGGAUUGUAAACUCCUGUUGUUGAGGAAGAUAAUGACGGUACUCAACAAGGAAGUGACGGCUAACUACGUGCCAGCAGCCGCGGUAAAACGUAGGUCACAAGCGUUGUCCGGAAUUACUGGGUGUAAAGGGAGCGCAGGCGGGAAGACAAGUUGGAAGUGAAAUCCAUGGGCUCAACCCAUGAACUGCUUUCAAAACUGUUUUUCUUGAGUGGUGCAGAGGUAGGCGGAAUUCCCGGUGUAGCGGUGGAAUGCGUAGAUAUCGGGAGGAACACCAGUGGCGAAGGCGGCCUACUGGGCACCAACUGACGCUGAGGCUCGAAAGUGUGGGUAGCAAACUGGAUUAGAUACCCUGGUAGUCCACACUGUAAACGAUGAUUACUAGGUGUUGGAGGAUUGACCCCUUCAGUGCCGCAGUUAACACAAUAAGUAAUCCACCUGGGGAGUACGACCGCAAGGUUGAAACUCAAAGGAAUUGACGGGGGCCCGCACAAGCAGUGGAGUAUGUGGUUUAAUUCGACGCAACGCGAAGAACCUUACCAAGUCUUGACAUCCCUUGACGAUGCUGGAAACAGUAUUUCUCUUCGGAGCAAGGAGACAGGUGGUGCAUGGUUGUCGUCAGCUCGUGUCGUGAGAUGUUGGGUUAAGUCCCGCAACGAGCGCAACCCUUAUGGUCAGUUACUACGCAAGAGGACUCUGGCCAGACUGCCGUUGACAAAACGGAGGAAGGUGGGGAUGACGUCAAAUCAUCAUGCCCUUUAUGACUUGGGCUACACACGUACUACAAUGGCGUUAAACAAAGAGAAGCAAGACCGCGAGGUGGAGCAAAACUCAGAAACAACGUCCCAGUUCGGACUGCAGGCUGCAACUCGCCUGCACGAAGUCGGAAUUGCUAGUAAUCGCAGAUCAGCAUGCUGCGGUGAAUACGUUCCCGGGCCUUGUACACACCGCCCGUCACACCAUGAGAGCCGGGGGGACCCGAAGUCGGUAGUCUAACCGCAAGGAGGACGCCGCCGAAGGUAAAACUGGUGAUUGGGGUGAAGUCGUAACAAGGUAGCCGUAGGAGAACCUGCGGCUG
rnacentral:rRNA from 1 species